UAAAGGUCCUGCAUUAUUUUAUCUUUUUAAUUAUAUAUGUUCUAAUGUGAAAAAUAUAUUCACAUAAUAAAUAUAAACAAAAAAUAGUUGCAAAGCGGUUAUCAACAUGUAGGUCUUUUUUUUUCUGCUCUUCUCAAAAUCCUGAGCCUGCACCAGUUGAUUUGUGUGUGGUUAACCAUUUCAUAUAAUCUUUAACAAAUACACAUACUCAGUUAGUCACGUUUCUCUAAAUUGAGAAAUAAACAGAGGUCCUUCUUAAGGUGGCCACUACCAGUCAAAUUAAAGUACAGUAUGCAAACAUUUGUCUUUCAAUAUAAUAAAUAUUUUUGUUCAAAUGAUGACAGUAAAAUGUAUAAAAACCCUAGUAAUGCUGCAGAACCUACUAUAUUUGCACCAGUGCCAAAAACAAUAUGAUGCAGUGUAGAGAAGUAGUGUGAAUAGUGUGGUCAGCAAUGGCCCUGUGGUGGUCUCUUUUCAUUGAUUGACAGUGUAGAUCAGAAUCAGGCUUUAAUGGCCAAGUAUGCUUACACAUACAAGGAAUUUGUCUUUGGUUACACAGUAGCUCACAGGCUACAUAAGUGACAAACAUUACACACGAGCACAACUAGCACAUUCCUACCUGAGUUUAACUGCGCGCACACACACACACACACGCACACAGAUAUAUUCAUACCUGUAAACCUUGCAUAUGCAUACGGUGGAGAGAAUUUUUUAAGGUGCUGAGUGCAGUGGGUGGAUUAGAGAUAGUAGAGUAGAUUAUAGUAAGAUAAAUAUAAGGAAAUACAAUUAAAAAAUGAGGAAAAAGAAGGGAAAAAGUACAGAAGAUGGGGAGUUUUGUGCAGUUCUUAUGUUCAAUUGUUCAUGAGUGUGAAAGAGACUUUUUCUGCAGUCUGGCUGUUUUAAUCUUCAUUUGGCUGAUACGACUGACAGAGGAAAGUAGCUGGAACAGGUGAUGGCCAGGUAUUUCAUUGCCUGCUUCCUAAGUCUGGAAGUGUGCAGAUCCACCAGGGUGGUCAGCUUUACACCAGUGGUCUUUUCUGCAUAUUGAUGAUGUAACUUAUGAUGGUAGCAGCAGAAUGAAUUCAGAAGUCUACAGAAACAUUCCGUCUGUCAAUUUACAGAGAAAUGCAUCCAAUCUAAUUGAGAGGAACAUCAUGCAAGACAAUGACCCAAAACACACUGCCAACACAACAAAGGACAUCAUCAGAGUAAAAACAAAUUGGAAGCUGUGGUACAAGCCUGGAAAAGCAUCACAAAAGAAGAAUGCAACAGGUUUGCGCACCUAAAAAUUGGGUGGUCUGCCACCAAAGGGCUGACCAGUCUCUUGCUGUCCUUACUCAUCUGGGAGCCAGUCAAGGCCUGAGGGCCAGUCAAAGGCUGAGAAAUCAAUUGUGGAUUGAUGCUGCUUGCUGACUAAUGGACGGGCCUGAGUCUGCGGCAAGUGUGGCAAGAAACUCAUCAAGAUCACCAGGCU